AGACGAGACCUUAGCGGCACGUGGCGACCAAUCUCUUCGUGGUCGGACGGAAUGGUGAUCAAGACAUUCCGAAGGUUAAAUCUUUGGCAUCGAGGUAGCCGGUCAUUGUUGCUGGCACCUCA
rnacentral:snRNA from 1 species